UACGUAGGUGGCAAGCGUUGUCCGGAUUUAUUGGGUUUAAAGGGUGCGUAGGCGGUCUUAUAAGUCAGUGCUGAAAUAUCCCGGCUUAACCGGGUACGGGCGGCGAUUGAUACUGUAGGACUUGAGUAAAGUUGAGGUAGGCGGAAUUGACGGUGUAGCGGUGAAAUGCUUAGAUAUCGUCAAGAACACCGAUAGUGAAGACAGCUUACUAAACUUU
rnacentral:rRNA from 1 species